rnacentral:tRNA from 1 species
UCCUCUACCAAAGGAGCUAGUCCAAACCAAGACCCCUA